rnacentral:tRNA from 1 species
ACUCGCUGGCUCAGUUGGUAGAGCAUGAGACUCAUGAUCUUGGGGUGUGAGUUUGAGCCCCAUACUGGGUA